UUAGGAACAGGACAUAAGUCAGUCUUUCUUUCACAGGAUGGGAAUGAAAGUGUGACUCUUGGUGUUUAUCUCUCCAUGGUCAGAGGGGAAUUCAGAUCCAGGGUAAAUCCAUCGAGUAGAAGAGGGCAAAGACUCACAGGUCAUGCAUCUGGGAGAUAAUCACUGGAAGUUGAAGUGUGAACAGAAUUGAAGACCCUCCCCAAGCAGUGGUUUAGUUUAAAAUCAAAUAUCUCAAGUCACAGAAUGACCACAGCACAGAAGCCAUGAUAUGUCUCAGGUCAUGGCUUUGCCUUAGGCUAUAAACAAAGUGCUGGAGUGCUGGAUAUUA
rnacentral:lncRNA from 1 species